CCUACGGGGAGCAGCAGUGGGGAAUAUUGGGCAAUGGGCGCAAGCCUGACCCAGCAACGCCGCGUGAAGGAAGACGGCCCUCGGGUUGUUAACUUCCUUUUAUAGGGAAGAGCAGCAGAUUGUAUCUCUUGCUUUACCCAUGGCUAACUACGUGCCAGCAGCUGCGGUCAUACGUAGGUGGCAAGCGUUUUCCGGAUUUACUGGGUGUAAAGGGCGUGUAGCCGGGCUGACAAGUCAGAUGUGAAAUCCCGUGGCUCAACCACGGAACUGCAGUUGAAACUGUCGGUCUUGAGUAUCGGGGAGGCAGGCGGAAUUCCUAGUGUAGCGGUGAAAUGCGUAGAUAUUAGGAAGAACACCAGUGGCGAAGGCAGCCUGCUGGACGGCAACUGACGGUGAGGCGCGAAAGCGUGGGGAGCGAACAGGAUUAGAUACCCCUGUAGUC
rnacentral:rRNA from 1 species